rnacentral:rRNA from 1 species
AGCAGUAGCCGCGGUAAAACAGAGGGUGCGAGCGUUAAUCGGAUUUACUGGGCGUAAAGCGUGCGUAGGCGGCUUCUUAAGUCGGAUGUGAAAUCCCUGAGCUUAACUUAGGAAUUGCAUUCGAUACUGGGAAGCUAGAGUAUGGGAGAGGAUGGUAGAAUUCCAGGUGUAGCGGUGAAAUGCGUAGAGAUCUGGAGGAAUACCGAUGGCGAAGGCAGCCAUCUGGCCUAAUACUGACGCUCAUGCACGAAAGCGUGGGGAGCAAACAGGAUUAGAUACCCCAGUAGUCCCUGUCUCUUAUAC